rnacentral:rRNA from 1 species
GACGAACGCGGCGGCGUGCCUAAUACAUGCAAGUAGAACGCUGAAGGAGGAGCUUGCUUCUCCGGAUGAGUUGCGAACGGGUGAGUAACGCGUAGGUAACCUGCCUGGUAGCGGGGGAUAACUAUUGGAAACGAUAGCUAAUACCGCAUAAUAGCAGUUAUUGCAUGAUAACUGUUUGAAAGGUGCAAUUGCACCACUACCAGAUGGACCUGCGUUGUAUUAGCUAGUUGGUGGGGUAACGGCUCACCAAGGCGACGAUACAUAGCCGACCUGAGAGGGUGAUCGGCCACACUGGGACUGAGACACGGCCCAGACUCCUACGGGAGGCAGCAGUAGAGAAUCUUCGGCAAUGGACGGAAGUCUGACCGAGCAACGCCGCGUGAGUGAAGAAGGUUUUCGGAUCGUAAAGCUCUGUUGUAAGAGAAGAACGAGUGUGAGAAG